UACGUAGGGUGCGAGCGUUGUCCGGAAUUAUUGGGCGUAAAGAGCUUGUAGGCGGUCUGUCGCGUCUGCUGUGAAAAUCCGGGGCUCAACCCCGGACUUGCAGUGGGUACGGGCAGACUAGAGUGUGGUAGGGGAGACUGGAAUUCCUGGUGUAGCGGUGAAAUGCGCAGAUAUCAGGAGGAACACCGAUGGCGAAGGCAGGUCUCUGGGCCACUACUGACGCUGAGGCGCGAAAGCAUGGGGAGCGAACGGG
rnacentral:rRNA from 1 species